GCCAAAACUACAAUGAUUCUAGCCAAGUCUA
rnacentral:piRNA from 1 species